AUGUGUGCUUUGGUAGCUAAGGAGUGUGUUGCGGUCUGUGGCUUUGCUAUAGAGGGUAGUGUCCAGGCAGUCAUUCUUGACCGUUAUCCUUACAUCGAGGAAAUAAAUCAUGCUGAGAAAAGCGCUCCAUCAGUUUUCCCCCUGGUGCCCUGCUGUGACAUCACAUCCUCAGAAGUCACCAUUGGGUGCUUGUCUACUGGCUACCUCCCUGAACCUGUAGAUGUCACUUGGAAUUCAGGCUCCAUAACUACUGGAAUUAAAAGUCUUCCAGGCGUACUCAGUAGAAAUGGGAACUAUAUUUCAUCCAGCUAUCUGACUAUUCCUACAUCUAAUUGGAAAAGUAACAAAUAUACAUGUAAUGUGAAUCACAAGGCCUCGGGUCAAAACAUCAACAAGGAUAUACCAGAAUGCAGUGAUCCCACCCCAGCAAGUCCACCCACUGUAGCACUUAUGCAAGGAUCUUGUGGGGAAACUGGUUCCGUGGACCUAGUUUGUCUCAUGACUGGAUACUUUCCAGAUGAAAUUAAAAUACAGUGGCUUUUGAAUGGAAAGACAACUUCUAUUGCCCCAACAAACAGCACUCCAUACAAGAAUUCCGAAGGGAAAUUUGAAUCUAGAAGUCAAGUUUCUGUUCCCAAGGAUGACUGGAAUUCUGGGGACACUUACACUUGUAGGGUGAUCCAUCCACCAACUUCCACCACAGAAAAAGACAGCAUACAUAAAUGUGCAGAGUCAUCCGGUUCACUUCCAAAGGUUGUUAUCCUGCCACCUUCCCCAAAAGACUUGGUGAUCACCAAGGAAGCCAAAGUUACCUGUAAAGUGGAAAAACUGUCCUCUACAGAGUCUCUGGAAAUUAAGUGGAGGCGUCAGGAUGGCAAAAGACUUCAGGUUUUCACCAAUGACCCAGAGCAGGGAUAUGAUGGCACAUACACUGUUACAAGUACCCUGAGGAUCAGUGUCGCUGACUGGCAUUCUGGAAACUCCUUUACCUGUGUUGUAGCACACAGUGACCUUCCAGCCCCCGUGGAAAAGAACAUUAAAUAUAGAGCAGAUGAAGAAAUGACAAAUCCAACAAUAUAUUGUUAUCAACCACCAUCAGAGGAGCUGGCUGUAUUUGACUUUAUAGGUCUAACCUGCGUGUUUAAAGAUUUCAAUCCCAAAGACUUGUAUGUGCAGUGGAAGAAGAAUGGUUUAGUCAUGGAUGAAGAGAAGUACACAAACACUGAGCCCAUACUGGAUGAAGAUACUGGGACCUACUGGAUGUACACCAGAGCCAUUGUUAAUAAAACAGAUUGGAACAGAGGAGCAAUAUAUACCUGUUCAGGCGUGCUCAGGGAUAUAACUUCAAAAGAAAUAAAGAAAAACAGGGGUAAAUGAAUCUUUAAAUAUCUGAAAUUCUAACUACAACCUAUCGUCAUUUUGAUGUGUGGAACAUCAAGCUUUAGUGCUCUAGUGCCAUAGAAUGAUGCAAAUGUUAACCCAAUGCAGUUUUUGCCAUUUGGAUGAAAUUAUAUAAUCAUAUCAUGUAUCUUAAGAACAAUCAGAGGAAAUACUAACAACAUUGAAAAGUACACUAGUGACAACAACGGCAUUGUAUUAACACUGUUUAUCAAGAUUUCCAACAUGUUUCAAUGUUUAUGUAUUCUUAAUUCAUUAAUAUCUUGCAUUUACCCUUCCCCCUGUUUCUGGUGUGUGGAACACUGGAUUUCACUUUGUGUCUGUCAUGUCAUGUCAUGUGCUUAUAUCUCAAUAAACUCUUGUAUAACAUUAUGUUGCUAAA